GUAGGUGGCAAGCGUUGUCCGGGAAUUAUUGGGGCGUAAAGCGCGCGCAGGCGGUUUUUUAAGUCUGAUGUGAAAGCCCACGGGCUCAACCGUGGGAGGGUCAUUGGAAACUGGAGAACUUGAGUACAGAAGAGGAAAGCGGAAUUCCACGUGUAGCGGUGAAAUGCGUAGAGAUGUGGAGGAACACCAGUGGCGAAGGCGGCUUUCUGGUCUGUAGCUGACGCUGAGGCGCGAAAGCGUGGGGAGCAAACAGGAUUAGAUACCCUGGUAGUCCACGCCGUAAACGAUGAGUGCUAAGUGUUAGGGGGUUUCCGCCCCUUAGUGCUGCAGCUAACGCAUUAAGCACUCCGCCUGGGGAGUACGGCCGCAAAGGCUGA
rnacentral:rRNA from 1 species